rnacentral:rRNA from 1 species
UACGUAGGUGGCAAGCGUUGUCCGGAUUUACUGGGCGUAAAGGAUGCGUAGGCGGACAUUUAAGUCAGAUGUGAAAUACCCGAGCUUAACUUGGGUGCUGCAUUUGAAACUGGGUGUCUAGAGUGCAGGAGAGGUAAGUGGAAUUCCUAGUGUAGCGGUGAAAUGCGUAGAGAUUAGGAAGAAACACCAGUGGCGAAGGCGACUUACUGGACUGUAACUGACGCUGAGGCAUGAAAGCGUGGGGAGCAAACAGG